CACUGUUUGAUAACAUGUGAUCAUGCCAAGUUAUUUUGGAUGGAGGCACAAACUGUAUUUGCUAUAAAGAUGCCCCGACUCCAUCCACACACUUGGGCUACUGACUUGCUCGAUGCUAGCUGGGUGCCAAAGAAAGAUGCAGCUAUUGGCAUUACGGUGAUGUCGGCUAUUUGGAGCAGCCGGAAUAGGUUCACUCAUCAUGAAGAAAGAUAUCAACCAAAGCGGUCCAUGGAGAUUAUUGCUGAAAUUGUGGGGACGCUGGAGCUUCCCCCCAAGACACAUACACCUGCUGUAAAUGAGCAGCAGCGAUGGGAGGCGCCGAUGACCGGGGUUGUCAAGAUGAAUGUCGACGGUGCAGUCGACACGGCUAGUGCAAAAGGUGGCACCGGCGUAGUUGCUCGUAACAGCGAAGGCAGACUACUAGUGUCGCGGUGCACUGGCUACCAAGGGGUGGUUGAUCCCCUGACACUGGAGAUUUUGGCUUGCAGAGAUGCUACUUUGCUUGCGAGGGAGAAGAACUAUCAGAAUGUGAUAGUCGAGACAGAUUGCCUCAAUGUUGUUCAGCUAUGGGAAGGUAGGCUGAGAGGCAAAUCGAAGGGAUUCCAUAUCUUCCAAGAGAUGCAGGAGGAGUUGCCGCUUUUUAAGGGAUUUCAGCUUCGUUAUGCUAGCCGUCUAGUUAACUCUGUUGCUCAUAUUUGUGCUAAGGAAGCUUUAGUUGUAGAGAAUGUUGCUACAUACUCUAAUGUAAUCCCUGGUUUUCUGAGUUGCGCUAUGCACUCGGAUUUGCUACCGCUGAAUGAAUAA
rnacentral:rRNA from 1 species